GUUUGGAAAAUGAAUCAGUUCUCUACAAGCAAAGAACACUUGAAGUCUAGUAACACAGAACCUCUAUCACAUUAAAGAAUCCUCGAAUGAAUUCUGCUCUAUUCCGUGUUAUUUAAUACAAGAGAUUUGGGAAUAGCUAAGGUUACUUUUGGAUUGUAACAUUUCGAUAGCUUCUCAAGCACUUCCUUGGAAAUGUCGAAAGAUAACAUAGCCAAGCAAAGCAUAUUACCUGAGAGGCAAUCCAAAAUCAACUUAAUGAUGAGACAAGAAGAACAUGGCCUUGAAGAACAAGUUUACUGCAUCUGCCGUAGCUCAGAUGCCAGCAGAUUUAUGAUUGGAUGUGACUACUGUGAGGAAUGGUACCAUGGAGACUGCAUAGAUAUUACCGAAGAGGAAUCCCGGUUCAUAAAAAAGUUUUUCUGUCCAAAAUGCAGGCAAAGGGAUCCUAGCUUAACCAUCAAAUACAAACAAAAAAAACUAGAACAGGUAGGGAAGGAAGAGUCAGCAAAGAAAGCAAAAAAACGACAGGAAAAAAAGGAAUCUACCCCAAAAUACCCUCAUUGUGGUGAAUGCAUUGCUUGUUAUCGUGUAGAUAACUGCAAUAAGUGUGAAUCUUGUAAAGGAAAACCACGUCAACAGUGCCAAUACAGAGUCUGUCUCACUUUUGCACCCAAGCAGAAAAAGGUUGAAACAGUAGCAGAAGAAGAGGAAAUUGCAAUAAAACCGGUGUUGAAUGAAGCCAACUAUUCCGAUGAUGAUGUAUGGGAGCCGAGCCUACGAAAAGAAAAACCCACAGUUCCAUCUAGUAAACCGUCUCGGCAUUCGACAAACAAAAAGGAAAAGGCAAAAGGAAGACAUCGUUCCUCUGCUAUUUCUGGGGACCACCGUCGCCGGAAGAGAAUCACCUCGUCUACAGAUUCGGGAGGGGAAAGCGAAAUAGAAAAAUCUCCAGCGCGGAGCAAGCAAAAGGUCAUCCACUGUUACGGACCGCAAUGUAUAAAUGCAUCGCGUCCGGGAAGCAAAUAUUGCAGUGACCAAUGCGGGCUAAAAUUGGCGACAACACGUAUAUACCAGAUUUUGCCGCAACGCAUUCAAGAAUGGGGCUUAACACCUUGCAUAGCUGAAGAAAAGAAUAAGAAAGAAUUAGAACUGAUUCGUAAGCAACAAAACGAAGCACGGGAAGCUCUGGAAGAGUUGGAUCUUAAACAAAAGGAACUGGAUAUAACUACAGCAAAGGCAAAAAAAUUUACGGUUGACAUAAACUCAGACGACGAAGCAGAUGAGGCAGGCGAUUGCGAAACGGAAUCAGCUACUGUACAGUGCGUCACUUGCGGCAUCGGUAUUACGGUCAGUAAUGCAAUCCGACACAUGGAGCGAUGUUUCAACAAAUACGAAAGCCAAACGUCCUUCGGUUCCAUUUUUCAAACCAAAAUAGAAGGCAACAAUAUGUUUUGUGAUUUUUACAAUCCCAGCAAUCGAACAUAUUGCAAACGACUUCGUGUUUUAUGUCCUGAGCAUUGCAAAGAUCCUAAGGUCAAUGACACUGAUGUAUGCGGGUAUCCUUUAGUACGGGAAGUCUUUGAAGAGACUGGAGAUUUCUGUCUUGUUCAAAAAAAGAAAUGUGUCAAGCAUAACAACUGGGAGAAACUACGGAGAGCCGAAAUUGACAUGGAAAGAGUACGCCAGUGGCUUAAACUUGACGAGUUAUUCGAAAAAGAACGACAGAUUCGAACUGCCAUGGCUCAGCGAGCUGGACUUUUACCACUUAUACUUCAUUCAACUUUCAACCAUGAAUUGAUGCAGCAACAGUACUCCGGACACUCUGGAGCGACUGCAGAAAGCGGCGAGACCAUAGCGAUCAAUAAAAACGCCAUCAAAGAAGACGAUGCAUGUUGUGGAUAACAGCCAACAGCACGUCACAGCUCCAGGAUACCGAAAAGUUAUACUGUAUUUUUGACAUACUGCUUCAGUGAAGUUAGAACGGGAAAACACCAUCUACAGCCUAUAGCUGAAAGCUGGAUCUUCUUACUGAGUUUCCCCGGAAAGCUAAAAAUUCGCUAUGGCUUGGACCGCCUAUGAGGCCAGUUUCCAAUCCCAGGGUGACCACUUACCCGUUGACCCUGUCCAUGAAAAUGAGCUCCUCGUAGCUCCUGCUUCUCGCACUGGAGACCGAUACUGAUUCCUCUAUUACUGUAAGUUGAAUAAACUAAGAAUUCUUAUUCGUGAUAGGAAUACUAUGAAUUGUCAUUCAUCAAUGUCAAAAUAUAUCUUAAUAUCUUUUUA
rnacentral:misc_RNA from 1 species